CAGGUGCUGCAUGGCUGUCGUCAGCUCGUGUCGUGAGAUGUUGGUUAAGUCCGCAACGAGCGCAACCCUUGCCUUUAGUUGCCAGCAGUUCGGCUGGGCACUCUAAAGGGACUGCCGGUGUUAAACCGGAGGAAGGUGGGGAUGACGUCAAGUCCUCAUGGCCUUUAUGACCAGGGCUACACACGUACUACAAUGGCCGAUACAAAGGGCAGCGACACUGCGAGGUGAAGCCAAUCCCGUAAAAUACGGUCUCAGUCCGGAUUGGAGUCUGCAACUCGACUCCAUGAAGUUGGAAUCGCUAGUAAUCGUGGAUCAGCAUGCCACGGUGAAUACGUUCCCGGGCCUU
rnacentral:rRNA from 1 species